CCCGUCCUGCCCCUGGACACACACCGGGUUCUGCCACCGAAGCGGUGGAGCGACUGGCAGCGCCCGCUUCGGCCUGCCCCACUGGCCGGCAUCCCAGGGUUAACAAACAAUUGUGUUUAUUGACAAGUUCAUACAUCAGUACAAACGGGCACGUUAAAAACAGCGCCCCCGCCCCAUGCAGCCGAGGAUGAGGCAGGAAGCGCCGCGACCUGCACAAAGUGUUCCACAUAAGCCAGGGUGGUGAAGCUGAGGCAGGAUGUGAGGAAACCAGGCACACAGCAGCCAGCCAGAUACUCUAGCAACCAACACUCAACAGCGUGCUGUGCAGGUAGGUGUGUGUGUGUACAUGUGUGCACGUGCAUGCGUGUGAUCUCAUCUGUGGCUGAGGUCCUCAGGAGGUAGGCCAGCGCCCCGUAAACGAGGGAUGUUCCAACACAGGCUUCUGACUAAGCAUCAUUCAGGAUGCAGGGAGAAGGUGGCCUCUGGGCUCCAGCAGCCGGCUGGGGUCCAGGGUGGAGGACAGGGAAGAACAAGGGGCUGAGGAAAGGAGGCCAGAGCUUCAUGUUUGCCCAGGUGAGGGCUUACUGUCCUGCAGCAACAUCCCACAGCUGGCUCAAGUUCUGGCCAGGAGAGUAAGGGGUCACAGGGAAAUACAAUGCUGGGCCCCUCUUGGAGGGAGAAUGGGAGUGGAAUGUGCGGGCUCAGGUCCAAAUACC
rnacentral:lncRNA from 1 species